rnacentral:rRNA from 1 species
UACGUAGGGUGCGAGCGUUGUCCGGAAUUAUUGGGCGUAAAGAGCUCGUAGGCGGUCUGUCGCGUCGGCUGUGAAAACCCGGGGCUCAACCCCGGGCCUGCAGUCGAUACGGGCAGACUAGAGUACUGCAGGGGAGACUGGAAUUCCUGGUGUAGCGGUGAAAUGCGUAGAUAUCUGGAGGAACACCGGUGGCGAAGGCGGCAUCCUGGACCGGCAUUGACGCUGAGGCGCGAAAGCCAGGGGAGCAAACGGG